rnacentral:rRNA from 1 species
GAUGAACGCUAGCGACAGGCUUAACACAUGCAAGUCGAGGGGCAGCAUAAAAGUAGCAAUACUUUGGUGGCGACCGGCGCGACGGGUGAGUAACGCGUAUGCAACCUACCUAUCAGGAGGGGACUAACCCGGCGAAAGUCGGACUAAUACCGCAUAAAACAGGGGCACCGCAUGGUGAUAUUUGUUAAAAAUUUAUUGCUGAUAGAUGGGCAUGCGUUCCAUUAGGUAGUUGGAGAGGUAACGGCUCACCAAGCCCACGAUGGAUAGGGGAACUGAGAGGUUGGUCCCCCACACUGGUACUGAGACACGGACCAGACUCCUACGGGAGGCAGCAGUGAGGAAUAUUGGUCAAUGGGCGAGAGCCUGAACCAGCCAAGUCGCGUGAAGGAAGAAGGAUCUAUGGUCCGUAAACUUCUUUUGCAGGGGAAUAAAGUGCAGGACGUGUCCUGUUUUGUAUGUACCCUGAGAAUAAGGAUCGGCUAACUCCGUG